AUUGAACGCUGGCGGCAGGCCUAACACAUGCAAGUCGAACGAGUGGCGGCCGGGUGAGUAAUGUCUGGGAACCUGCCCGAUGGAGGGGGAUAACUCCUGGAAACGGUAGCUACUACCGCCUACCAUCGGCUGUGCCCAGCUGGGCUUAGCUAGUAGGUGGGGUAACGGCUCACCUAGGCGACGAUCCCUAGCUGGUCUGAGAGGAUGACCAGCAACACUGGAAAUGAGACACGGUCCAGACGCCUACGGGAGGCAGCAGUGGGGAAUAUUGCACAAUGGGCGCAAGCCUGAUGCAGGCAUGCCGCGUGUAUGAAGAAGGCCUUCGGAUUGUAAAGUACUUUCAGCGAGGAGGCGGUACUCGCAGAAGAAGCACCGGCUAACUCCGUGCCAGCAGCCGCGGUAAUAC
rnacentral:rRNA from 1 species